rnacentral:piRNA from 1 species
UACCAUUAUUUAUUGCUUCCUAACUAUCCA